UGCGGAGUUUUAGAUAAUGGAGGGAACUCUGAUCUAGCGACGCCGCGUGCAGGAAGAAGGUCUUCGGAUUGUAAACUGCUGUGGUAAGGGAAAAAUGCUAUGUAGAGUGGAAAGCUACAUAGAGGGAUGGUACCUUACUAGAAAGCCCCGGCUAACUAAGUGCCAGCAGCCGCGGUAAUACGUAGGGGGCGAGCGUUACCCGGAAUCACUGGGCGUAAAGGGAGCGUAGGUGGCCUAACAUGUCAACUGUGAAAACCCGGAGCUCAACUCCGGACUUGAAGUUGAAACUGGUAGGCUUGAGGACGGUAGAGGAAGACGGAACUGCCAGUGUAGGGGUAAAAUCCUUAGAUAUUGGCAGGAACGCCGGUGACGAAGGUGGUUUUCUGGGCCGGUUCUGACACUGAUGCUCGAAAGCCAGGGG
rnacentral:rRNA from 1 species